rnacentral:siRNA from 1 species
GUGUAAAACGCCGAGCCUGCCU